UACGGAAGGCAGCAGUGGGGAAUAUUGCACAAUGGGCGCAAGCCUGAUGCAGCCAUGCCGCGUGUAUGAAGAAGGCCUUCGGGUUGUAAAGUACUUUCAGUCGUGAGGAAGGUGUUAAGGUUAAUAACCUUAGCAAUUGACGUUAGCGACAGAAGAAGCACCGGCUAACUCCGUGCCAGCAGCCGCGGUAAUACGGAGGGUGCGAGCGUUAAUCGGAAUUACUGGGCGUAAAGGGCACGCAGGCGGUUAAUUAAGUUGGAUGUGAAAUCCCCGGGCUUAACCUGGGAAUGGCAUUCAAGCUGGUUAGCUAGAGUCUUGUAGAGGGGGUAGAAUUCCAUGUGUAGCGGUGAAAUGCGUAGAGAUGUGGAGGAAUACCGGUGGCGAAGGCGGCCCCUGGGCAAAGGCUGACGCUCAUGUGCGAAAGCGUGGGGAGCAAACAGGGAUUAGAUACC
rnacentral:rRNA from 1 species